rnacentral:rRNA from 1 species
AGCGAACGCUGGCGGCAGGCCUAACACAUGCAAGUCGAACGGAUCCUUCGGGAUUAGUGGCGGACGGGUGAGGAACACGUGGGAACGUGCCUUUUGGUUCGGAACAACUCAGGGAAACUUGAGCUAAUACCGGAUAAGCCCUUCGGGGGAAAGAUUUAUCGCCAUUAGAGCGGCCCGCGUCUGAUUAGCUAGUUGGUGAGGUAAAGGCUCACCAAGGCGACGAUCAGUAGCUGGUCUGAGAGGAUGAUCAGCCACACUGGGACUGAGACACGGCCCAGACUCCUACGGGAGGCAGCAGUGGGGAAUCUUGCGCAAUGGGCGAAAGCCUGACGCAGCCAUGCCGCGUGAAUGAUGAAGGUCUUAGGAUUGUAAAAUUCUUUCACCGGGGACGAUAAUGACGGUACCCGGAGAAGAAGCCCCGGCUAACUUCGUG